rnacentral:rRNA from 1 species
CCUACGGGAGGCAGCAGUGGGGAAUAUUGGACAAUGGGCGCAAGCCUGAUCCAGCCAUGCCGCGUGAGUGAUGAAGGCCUUAGGGUUGUAAAGCUCUUUCAGCGAGGAGGAUAAUGACGUUACUCGCAGAAGAAGCCCCGGCUAACUUCGUGCCAGCAGCCGCGGUAAU